rnacentral:rRNA from 1 species
GAUCCUGGCUCAGGAUGAACGCUAGCUACAGGCUUAACACAUGCAAGUCGAGGGGAAACGAUAUUGGAAGCUUGCUUCCGAUGGGCGUCGACCGGCGCACGGGUGAGUAACGCGUAUCCAACCUGCCUACCACUUGGGGAUAACCUUGCGAAAGUAAGACUAAUACCCAAUGACAUCCCACGAAGACAUCUGAAUGGGAUUAAAGAUUUAUCGGUGAUGGAUGGGGAUGCGUCUGAUUAG